CAUUGGAAUUGAAAUACCAGAAACUGUACGAGCCAUUGUAUUCAAAGAGAUAUGAUAUAGUGAAUGGUGUUGUUGAAGUUGGAGAGAAGGAUGAAGCUGCGACAGACCAGACACAUAGUGAUGCUAUUAGGGGUCGUUUACCUAAACACUUACCUGAAAAGGGUGUCCCUGAUUUUUGGCUAACUGCAAUAAAGACCCAUGAAAUAUUGGCAG